rnacentral:rRNA from 1 species
UACGUAGGGUGCGAGCGUUGUCCGGAAUUAUUGGGCGUAAAGAGCGCGUAGGCGGUCCGAUAAGUCGGCUGUGAAAGUCCAGGGCUCAACCCUGGAAAGCCGGCCGAUACUGUCGGACUAGAGUCCGGAAGAGGCAAGUGGAAUUCCCGGUGUAGCGGUGAAAUGCGCAGAUAUCGGGAGGAACACCAAUUGCGAAGGCAGCUUGCUGGGACGGUACUGACGCUGAGGCGCGAAAGCGUGGGGAGCAAACAGG